GGAAUAUUGGACAAUGGGGGAAACCCUGAUCCAGCAAUGCCGCGUGUGUGAAGAAGGCCUGCGGGUUGUAAAGCACUUUCAGUAGAGAAGAAAAGCUCGCGGUUAAUACCCGAUGAGUCUUGACGUAACCUACAGAAGCAGCACCGGCUACCUCCGUUCCAGCAGCCGCGGUAACACGGAGGGUGCAAGCGUUAAUCGGAAUUACUGGGCUGAAAGCGCGCGUAGGCGGUUUUGUAAGUCGGAUGUGAAAGCCCAGGGCUUAACCUUGGAAUUGCAUUCGAUACUGCUUAACUAGAGUAUGGUAGAGGGAAGUGGAAUUUCCGGUGUAGCGGUGAAAUGCGUAGAUAUCGGAAGGAACACCAGUGGCGAAGGCGACUUCCUGGGCCAAUACUGACGCUGAGGUGCGAAAGCGUGGGGAGCAAAC
rnacentral:rRNA from 1 species